AAUCAACGCUGGCGGCGUGCCUAACACAUGCAAGUCGAACGAGAAAGGGGAGCAAUCCCUGAGUACAGUGGCGACCGGGUGAGUAACACGUGACUACCUACCCUUGAGUGGGGGAUAACCUCGGGAAACCGAGGCUAAUACCGCAUAAUAUCGCAAGAUCAAAGGAGCAAUCCGCUCUUGGAGGGGGUCGCGGCUGAUUAGCUAGUUGGUGAGGUAAUGGCUCACCAAGGCGAAGAUCGGUAUCCGGCCUGAGAGGGCGCACGGACACACUGGAACUGAAACACGGUCCAGACUCCUACGGGAGGCAGCAGUGGGGAAUUUUGCGCAAUGGGGGAAACCCUGACGCAGCAACGCCGCGUGGAGGAUGAAGCUCCUUGGAGUGUAAACUCCUUUCGACCGGGACGAUAAUGACGGUACCGGUGGAAGAAGCACCGGCUAACUCUGUGCCAGCAGCCG
rnacentral:rRNA from 1 species